rnacentral:lncRNA from 1 species
AGAUAUAUUACAUAAGACACGCUACAGUUCUAAUAAUCGCAUAUGGUUUCACAGUAUUCAAUAAAAACAUGUGGAAACUAGUUGAUACAAAUAUUCCAUUUUCACCAAAUCACGUGUUUAAAUUCCCUGGUAUGGACAUGAGUGGCCUAUAAACUAUUUACCAUCAAAUCAUCAGCAGAAGGUAACGUCACCAAUUUAUUUACCAUAUGCAGAAAAAGACAACACAC